CUCUUUUUCAAUAAUACAAAUAAUACAAAUAAAAAUUAAAAGGACAUUGAAAUAAAUAAUUAUGAAUGUAUGAACUCAAAUUAUUUAAUUAAUUAUGUUAAAUUUAACACUGAAACAGUUAAUUUAUGCUUAAACAUUCACCAUUACCUCGAGUACUUUUAAUACUUUGAUAAUAACUCUAUUACCCAAAGAGAUCUCGCGAGGUUUAAAU
rnacentral:lncRNA from 1 species